ACUCAAAGGAAUAGACGGGGGCCCGCACAAGCGGUGGAGCAUGUGGUUUAAUUCGACGCAACGCGCAGAACCUUACCAGCCCUUGACAUGGGCAGUUUGGCCUCGGGAGACUGGGGCCUUCGGUUCGGCCGGCUGCCACACAGGUGCUGCAUGGCUGUCGUCAGCUCGUGUCGUGAGAUGUUGGGUUAAGUCCCGCAACGAGCGCAACCCCCAUCUUCAGUUGCCAUCGGGUAGAGCCGGGCACUCUGGAGGAACUGCCGGUGACAAGCCGGAGGAAGGCGGGGAUGACGUCAAGUCCUCAUGGCCCUUAUGGGCUGGGCUACACACGUGCUACAAUGGUGGUGACAGUGGGACGCAAGGCCGCGAGGCUGCGCCAAUCUCCAAAAGCCAUCUCAGUUCGGAUUGCACUCUGCAACUCGAGUGCAUGAAGGUGGAAUCGCUAGUAAUCGCGGAUCAGCACGCCGCGGUGAAUACGUUCCCGGGCCUUGCACACACCGCCCGU
rnacentral:rRNA from 1 species